AAAGAACAAGCAGUUAAAUGAUCCUUUUUUUAUGCUAUACAAUUAUAUGAAGAGGAUUGCCGGAUAGCUAAUUUCUUUUGGGCAGAUGGUCAAGCUAUCAUGGACUAUGAUUGCUUUGGUGAUGUUUUGUCCUUUGACACAACAUUUCAGACAAACAAGUUUGAAAUGCCUUUUGCACCACUACUUGGAACAAAUCAUCAUAAGCAGACCAUUCUUUUUGGAGCUGCGUUGCUAUGUGAUGAAACCAUAGAUUCAUUUAUCUGGCUCUUCAACACAUUCUUAACCGCCAUGUCUGGCAAGGCACCCGCAACAAUAUUCACCGAUCAGUGUGCUGCCAUGGCGAAAGCAAUCAGGAUUGUUCUCCCAAAUACAAAGCAUCGUCUCUGUUUGUGGCACAUUUAUCAAAAUGCU
rnacentral:rRNA from 1 species